CGUUCCCAAAUCGCCCUCACUUAACAGCCUCAGCACUCGCUCUCUGGACUCAGAACCUAAAAAAGUUAUUCUAAAUCGCUAAAAAAAAUUCAUCAAAUUUAGAGGCGACACAGCCGAAGUUGCUUGCGUACAGAUUCGAUCCCUUUUAAUCUCCCAAAUUUCUUCACUUCAUUCCGAAUUCUAGGGUUUAUCUUCCCUUUCAUAGAUCUCACUUCAUUUUGUCUGUAAUUCGACUGCUCAGCGAGAGUGUCAGAUCUUUGAUUGCUGAGUUCGAUUAAGAAUUUUUGUUAUUGUUGGGUGAUAAUGGCUGCCUUGCAGAGACUAGGGCAACCCAGUGGCGGUAACUAUGGGGCUUCUUGUAAUGGAGCUGACGUGGCGGGGCCGGGUCAGUUUCCUGCUGGUUUGCGGGUUCUUGUUGUGGAUGAUGACCAUGCUUGUUUGAAAAUUGUUGAGCAGAUGCUUCGCCGGUGUCUCUAUCAGGUUACAACAUGCUCCCAGGCAACUUGUUGCCUUGAACACUUUAAGGCAGAGUAAAGGCUGUUUUGAUGUAGUACUAAGCGAUGUUCACGUGCCUGAUAUGGAUGGCUAUACACUCCUUGAACAUAUUGGACUUGAAAUGGAUCUUCCUGUUAUCAUGAUGUCUGCUGAUGGAAGAUACUCUUCUGUUUUGAGGGGAAUCAGACAUGGGGCUUGUGAUUACUUGAUUAAGCCUAUACGUGAGGAAGAGCUUAAAAAUUUAUGGCAGCAUGUUGUCCGGAAAAAGUGGAAUUAAAAUAAAGACAUUGAACAUUCAGGAGGCAGCUUUGACGAGAAUGAUCGCCAAAAAAGAGCAAGUGAUGAAGUUGAAUACGCAUCUUCUGCUGAUGAAGGAACUGAAGGAAGCUCAGAAGAAGAAGAUGACGGUGAACUAGCUUCCAAAUUGUAAGAGUGAACAAGAAUCUUCCUGUGGUCGUAGUCAUUUUCGACGAAGCACGGAGGGAUGCAGCCAGAGGGAUCGAGGAAGGUCACUUGACCCUCCUGAACUUUAAAAAAAUUCAUGUAAGUACAUUUUC